UGCAACUCGACUGCACGAAGCUGGAAUCGCUAGUAAUCGCGAAUCAGAAUGUCGCGGUGAAUACGUUCCCGGGUCUUGUACACACCGCCCGUCACACCAUGGGAGUCGGUAACGCCCGAAGUCAGUGACCCAACCGCAAGGAGGGAGCUGCCGAAGGCGGGACUGGUAACUGGGGUGAAGUCGUAACAAGGUAGC
rnacentral:rRNA from 1 species